UACGUAGGAAACGAGCGUUGUCCGGAAUUACUGGGCGUAAAGCGCGUGUAGGCGGAUGGGCAAGUCUGCUGUGAAAGCUCCUGGCUUAACCGGGAGUGGUCGGUGGAAACUGCCAAUCUGGAGGACGGUAGAGGUAGGUAGAAUUCCCGGUGUAGUGGUGAAAUGCGUAGAGAUCGGGAGGAAUACCUGUGGCGAAGGCGGCCUACUGGGCCGGACCUGACGCUGAGACGCGAAGGCGUGGGGAGCGAACGGG
rnacentral:rRNA from 1 species